GUCAUUUUUCAUGAUUAUUUCACGACGAAGAUCAUCACAUCAAUGAAUCAAAUAAUAAGGACAUGCCUUUGGUAUUAGCAGGGUGCAGCCUGCAGGCAACAUAUGCAACAAUGCUUUCAUCUGUGAAUACCCACUUGCUAAGCCCACCAUGAACUACGAAGGCCAAUUAAUAUGUAAGGACACCAAUGAAAAGACUUUUCCAAUCAUCGUACAUCAUAUACAUGGGUGGUCAAACUCAUUGUAUGGUUUAUCAGCAAUCCCAUUCUCACGAACAGUCUUGCCCCAGGAAUUUUGCCCUGAAGUAACAUUUGCAGUCAAUUGUCUCCUUUCUUUUUACAACCUUGGCAGCCAUGCAGGAUAGAAGCUGAUCACUUGUACUUGACAGCAAAUAAUAAUCUCUUGGACAAGUCAAAGAACUUCCUCCAGUCUUACAGAGAAAUGACAGUUGAUAAAAGAAUGGUGGACACAAAGUAAAAGUGCUCUUCAACAUUUUGUUGAAGAUUUCAGUCUGAUUUGGAAUUCAUCUUGCAAUAUUUCUGGAUUUCGUCAAUUUUCAACUUAUUGACUAAACAUUUUUGGGUCAAAUAUUGCCAAUGCUAUCUAUUAUUAUUAUUUCUCUCCAAGAUAAUGUCAAGUCUUUAUU